ensembl:lncRNA
GGGUGAGGGGGUACCUCUGAGGGGGUGUGGAGGUCCACAGCCAGCUGGAGGUCGGUGAUGAGCUCUAAGGAGGUUCUGUAGGGGGGGUUCUUCAGGUGACAGAGCCGCUUCUGGACCAGAGCCAGAGCCUGAAGAACACAACACCUUUACCCUCAGCCCCACCGCCCCGUGGUCACACACUACCGGCGCUCGGCAGCCAUGGAUCUCGUCUAAUUAGGAUGAUCCAUUAAGCACUUUAUCAAGUACCAAUAAUCAUUAUUUUGCUUAGUGUUGCAGUUAACGGAUCAUUAUAAAACAAAUGGUUUAAGUUUUCUUGGCUGCUGGUCAGAUAAAGAAUGUCCAUCAAAGACCUGACUGUUGGAAUACCUCUGUGGGGUCUCCCAGCUGGCACAGCAGGGACAGCAGCACGCACUCACACUUCUGUUGGGAGAGGAGCAACGUCAGCCUCACGUCUACACGACGUCGGCCUCACGUCUACACAACGCCGGCCUCACGUCUACACAACGUCGGCCUCACGUCUACACAACGCCGGCCUCACGUCUACACAACGUCGGCCUCACGUCUACACAACGCCGGCCUCACGUCUACACAACGUCGGCCUCACGUCUACACAACGCCGGCCUCACGUCUACACAACGUCGGCCUCACGUCUACACAACGCCGGCCUCACGUCUACACCGCGUCAGCCUCACGUCUACACCGCGUCAGCCUCACGUCUACAUCAGAGGACCAGAGCUGGUGUGUGUUCUAGGUCCAGAGUGUGUGUUCUAGGUUCUGGUGUGUGGUUCUAGGUUCUGGUGUGUGGUUCUAGGUUCUGGUGUGUGGUUCUAGGUUCUGGUGUGUGGUUCUAGGUUCUGGUGUGUGUUCUAGGUCCAGAGUGUGUUCUAGGUUCUGGUGUGUGGUUCUAGGUUCUGGUGUGAGGUUCUAGGUUCUGGUGUGUGUUCUCGGUCCAGAGUGUGUGUUCUAGGUUCUGGUGUGUGGUUCUAGGUUCUGGUGUGUGGUUCUAGGUUCUGGUGUGUGGUUCUAGGUUCUGGUGUGUGGUUCUAGGUUCUGGUGUGUGGUUCUAGGUUCUGGUGUGUGGUUCUAGGUUCUGGUGUGUGGUUCUAGGUUCUGGUGUGUGUUCUAGGUCCAGAGUGUGUGUUCUAGGUCCAGAGUGUGUUUUCUAGGUUCUGGUGUGUGGUUCUAGGUUCUGGUGUGUGGUUCUAGGUUCUGGUGUGUGUUCUAGGUCCAGAGUGUGGUUCUAGGUUCUGGUGUGUGGUUCUAGGUUCUGGUGUGUGUUCUAGGUCAAGAGUGUGUGUUCUAGGUCAAGGGUGUGUGGUUCUAGGUUCUGGUGUGUGGUUCUAGGUUCUGGUGUGUGUUCUAAGUCCAGAGUGUGUGGCUCUAGGUCCAGAGUGUGUGGUUCUAGGUUCUGGUGUGUUUUCUAGUUUCUGGUGUGUGUUCUAGGUUCUGGUGUGUGGUUCUAGGUCCAGAGUGUGGUUCUAGGUUCUGGUGUGUGGUUCUAGGUUCAGAGUGUGGUUCUAGGUUCUGGUGUGUGGUUCUAGGUCCAGAGUGUGUGUUCUAGGUACUGGUGUGUGGUUCUAGGUUCUGGUGUGUGUUCUAGGUUCUGGUGUGUGUUCUAGAUUCUGGUGUGUGUUCUAGGUUCUGGUGUGUGUUCUAGGUUCUGGUGUGUGGUUCUAGGUCCAGAGUGUGGUUCUAGGUUCUGGUGUGUGGUUCUAGGUCCAGAGUGUGUGUUCUAGGUUCUGGUGUGUGGUUCUAGGUUCUGGUGUGUGGUUCUAGGUUCUGUGUGUGUUCUAGGUUCUGGUGUGUGUUCUAGGUCCAGAGUGUGUGUUCUAGGUCCAGAGUGUGUGUUCUAGGUUCUGGUGUGUGGUUCUAGGUUCUGGUGUGUGGUUCUAGGUUCUGGUGUGUGGUUCUGGGUUCUGGUGUGUGUUCUAGGUUCUG